rnacentral:rRNA from 1 species
GCUGGCGGCGUGCUUAACACAUGCAGUCGAACGAACCUUCGGGUUAGUGGCGGACGGGUGAGUAACGCGUGAGAAUCUGCCCUCAGGAGGGGGAUAACGGUUGGAAACGACCGCUAAUACCCCAUAUGCCGCGAGGUGAAAUGAAUUUCGCCUGAGGAUGAGCUCGCGUCUGAUUAGUUAGUUGGUGGGGUAAAGGCCUACCAAGACAUCGAUCAGUAGCUGGUCUGAGGGGAUGAUCAGCCACACUGGGACUGAGACACGGCCCAGACUCCUACGGGAGGCAGCAGUGGGGAAUUUUCCGCAAUGGGCGAAAGCCUGACGGAGCAACGCCGCGUGAGGGAUGAAGGCCUCUGGGCUGUAAACCUCUUUUAUCAAGGAAGAAGAUCUGACGGUACUUGAUGAAUAAGCCACGGCUAAUUCCGUGCCAGCAGCCGCGGUAAUACGGGAGUGGCAAGCGUUAUCCGGAAUUAUUGGGCGUAAAGCGUCCGCAGGCGGUCUGUCAAGUCUGCUGUUAAAGCGUGGAGCUUAACUCCAUUUCGGCAGUGGAAACUGACAGACU